UACGUAGGGUGCAAGCGUUGUCCGGAAUUAUUGGGCGUAAAGAGCUCGUAGGCGGUUUGUCGCGUCGAAUGUGAAAACCCGGGGCUCAACUCCGGGCCUGCAUUCGAUACGGGCAGACUAGAGUUCGGUAGGGGAGAACGGAAUUCCUGGUGUAGCGGUGAAAUGCGCAGAUAUCAGGAGGAACACCGGUGGCGAAGGCGGUUCUCUGGGCAUUACCUGACGCUGAGGAGCGAAAGUGUGGGGAGCGAACAGG
rnacentral:rRNA from 1 species